rnacentral:rRNA from 1 species
UACGUAGGGGGCAAGCGUUGUUCGGAAUUACUGGGCGUAAAGGGCGCGUAGGCGGUCGUGACAAGUCACUUGUGAAAUCUCCGGGCUUAACUCGGAAAGGUCAAGUGAUACUGUCGGACUAGAGUACAGAAGGGGCAACUGGAAUUCUCGGUGUAGCGGUGAAAUGCGUAGAUAUCGAGAGGAACACCUGCGGCGAAGGCGGGUUGCUGGGCUGAUACUGACGCUGAGGCGCGAAAGCUAGGGGAGCGAACGG